rnacentral:rRNA from 1 species
UACGUAGGCAGCGAGCGUUGUUCGGAGUUACUGGGCGUAAAGAGUGUGUAGGCGGUGCUCCAAGUCUGGUGUGAAAUCUCCCGGCUUAACUGGGAGGGUGCAUUAGAAACUGGAAUGCUAGAGGAUGGGAGAGGUAAGCGGAAUUCCUGGUGUAGCGGUGAAAUGCGUAGAUAUCAGGAGGAACACCUGUGGUGUAGACAGCUUACUGGACCAUUUCUGACGCUGAGACACGAAAGCGUGGGUAGCAAACAGG